UGGAAAGACAUUCAUUCAAGAGAUUCUAACGUGAUUAUCGUAAAUAGCUGGAAUUGUAGAUAUUUACAAUGACAUAGAUCAUUUUUCUUCGACGUAAUUACGGCCUAAUGUCGAGACAAGAAUAAUAUGACGCUGAUCUGUGUUUUGACAAGAAUAUGAAUGAUCUUAAGAAAAGGUUUCGCUGAAUCAAUUGGAAGACAGCGUCUUCAAUUGUCCUACUAAAUUCUUUACAGAUGACAUCUGGGUCUGGGGAGAUCAUGCAAAAAAAUAAGACACCAUUUAUAACUUUCAACCUUCCGCUCACAGGACAAAUUCUCGAAGACGCUACGAAAAGAUGCUGAGCUUGAUCAUAAUUCUUCAGGCUCCCAAUUCAAGAAUACAAUUACUUAGCGUGGGUGCUUCUGCUCAGUCUUCGUUUCCUAUCUCCACAUACCAAUCACUCGUUUGCUACUAAUUCGAAUAAUUUACUGCUGUAAGGAGUCGUACCACCAACUAAAUCUGAAUAACAAUUUGGCUGCUAGAAGUUAAAAAGUAGGCGCUGCAAUGAUUAUGUGGUAUGAUCAGAUUGUGUCGCAACGCUCAGCGGGGUUUUGGCUCAAUGGGACCGCUGCUAAUAAAACGUUUAACUAGCGAAUUUUGGAACACACCCGUUGACAAAAGUAUAAGGAGUCUCUUUCCGUGAGUUCCCCUCUUCCUCUCACUGCACUUCAACUAUGCCUUAUAGCAACCAAGAAGCUAGAAAAUGCCAACUAUUAAAAAGAUAACCUCUUUGGAAGCAAAUAAAACGGAGAUUAUCUUGGGAUCUAUUUCACAAAUUUACGGCUAAUUGGAAUGAACAGCGCCAAGUAGCACUGGUCAAACUGCAGAGAGUAUUAGAACUUGCUUUAUUCCGUAUAUCGUACUUUAGGUCGUCAGUUUUACCACUUCGGUACGCAAAUGAAAAUGAAAAGCUCAUUCACAACUUAGACACAAUUUCGCCGUUUACAAGUAGCUGAAAAGUCCAUCUAUCGAAUUAUGAAUGAUACUAUUUUAAAGAUAGUCGUUGCUGCACUCGUUUUCCAUGUUCUUUUUAUCCACACAUCCGAUGUUUUACUUACAGUUGAGCAUCUCAGGGCCAGCGACAAAUAUAAACAUAUUAUACUCAAAAUGAAGCUCGUUGAAAAGAGAAUAUUUCUUAACCUCUUUUACAGUGUUUUCAACACCUUUUCAUCUGUGUGCCAUGUCAGAUUAAGGAUGCUCAACUUUUCGAAUUAUUAUUACAAAUUUCAAAGAAAUUACUAGUCCUUUUUGUCCCCUAAUGUAUCCCUCAUUUCAUACCGUCGUUUUGGGGUUCCAACUACGUAUAGCUUUCAAGUGUGGUUUUACGGUAAGAACAACCCCCCAUCGGUUAGUGCGGAAUACUUUCCUAUUCUCAUCGAGAGCCGAGCCAUACACCUAAGGUGGACAGAAAGUUAAAAUUCCAACAGAAAAAUCUAACAUCUUUGCUCCCUUACAAGUAGGAACGCUAGCGUAUCAACCCAUCUCCAGAUUUGCCCAGCAUUUCUGUAGAACACCCAAUGCGAAUGAAGACUAAUGAAUAUUGUAAAGACAAAAAAUAGGAAAAGUUUAAUUAGUGAUGGUUCUCACCACCCCAAAACGGUCACUUGCAUGCAUUGAGGACAUGCACCUGCAGUACUUGUUUUUCUCGAAUGUUUUUUACCAUCUCUUUUUUCCUUAUCUGAGCUGCUGACGCAGACGGACAUUGUUUCAUAUUUCGAAAGCUGUGCGGGAAAACGGACCCUAACACGAAUGUGAAUGCGCUAAUCGGUAUUUCCACCACAUGAAACCUGCUACUUUUUCAGUCCUCUUCGUAUGCAUUUCCCAAAAUUCAUUCGUAGCCUUGUCAACUUAGACUCAGUUCCACGGCGUGCAGGACGGGGUAUUAUGAAUAAAAGGAUCCACGGGUGAGAUUUGUUCUGUGUUUUAGGUAUGGAGUUUUGUACCACAAAACUUUAGGAAUACCGGAUUGUGUGCCUACGCCAGCCCCUGGACUUCCCUUUUCUUUUUCUUUGUUGCAGCAGUGGCUUCAAAGAACUGCUGAUUGCUCAAGGCAAUCAGUCCGAGCGUUUAGAAGGUGAUUGUAGGCAGAAAUUAACUUUGCGGUAAAAGAAUGACAUUCUUUCUUAAAAGAAAAAUUAGCUUUUUUUUGUCAGGCAUUGCACAAACUUUUUUAUUUCUGCCUAUACUCUUAAACAGAUCAGUCAUUCAUGUUGUCUUUUUAACGGUCGUACUGGGACAUCGCAUGCCUUGGGAUUCCGUAAUUAGGUGCAACAAUACGGGCACAACUCAUUCUGCGCUAUCUUCACGGACAGAACUUCUAUUGCCUAUCGGUGGUGUGAUUAACAAUUGGAAGCGCAGAGCUUGGAAUGGAUUUCCAAUUCAAUGGAUUUGGAGGUAUUCGUUUGUUUACUAAUAUUUACUUUGAGGACAUUGCCCAACCCUAAAAGUGCCUGUUCCAGAAUAGAAUAACAUUAUGAUACGUUUUCUUGACCGCUGAGCAAUUUAAAGCAAUUAUUAGGGUACGAUUGUUUCUAGAGAAAUGUGGGUCAUCUUUUUAGGUCCGUUCUCUUCUGGUGAGGUAACCUUUACAAAAAUGUCAUAGAGUUACCAAUUGGGAUUCAAGGCAUCAUCGCAAUAUACUUCGUUCUUUUACGGAGAAAUUAAGCUCUUUCUACUUUGAAUUAACUGUUAGACUUGUCUUAUCUGAGGAAUGUCCGUGUUCAAAUUAAAUAAAAAUUUAGGGCAGUUUUAUUUACCUUAACAAAUAUGUUCAAGCAUGUACGU
rnacentral:sRNA from 1 species